rnacentral:rRNA from 1 species
GUAGGUGGCAAGCGUUGUCCGGUAUUAUUGGGCGUAAAGCGCGCGCAGGCGGUUCUUUAAGUCUGAUGUGAAAGCCCACGGCUCAACCGUGGAGGGUCAUUGGAAACUGGAGAACUUGAGUACAGAAGAGGAAAGCGGAAUUCCACGUGUAGCGGUGAAAUGCGUAGAGAUGUGGAGGAACACCAGUGGCGAGGGCGGCUUUCUGGUCUGUAACUGACGCUGAGGCGCGAAAGCGUGGGGAGCAAACAGGAUUAGAUACCCUGGUAGUCCACGCCGUAAACGAUGAGUGCUAAGUGUUAGGGGGUUUCCGCCCCCCUUAGUGCUGCAGCUAACGCAUUAAGCACUCCGCCUGGGAGUACGGCCGCAAGGCUG